UGACUUAAGUGCACUUGCUGCUGAAACACUUCUCAUGUUCUGAAUCAGUGUCUGUCUCUACAGCAGUGGAACAAUCCACAAAACUAGAGGCCACUCAAUUUCAGACACCCUUUAUUUUGAAGAUAUGGAGCCUGAGGUAUGAAGUGGUUCUCUGAUGCCUGAACUGUGCCACUAAGAAUAUAUAUUUAGAAUUACAGUUUGCUGUGUGUGGAAACUGGAGUGCAGGCGCUGGGGCUAGCCAGCUGCUUUGGUGCUGACAGGGGCAAACUCCACUUAUUGGAACCCAUUGUACUCAACCUCUCAUGGGAGAGAGGAUGCAGGUGAGUGGGAAAAACCAGGUCGCAAGAACAAAUUGAAAGGUGGUGAAUUUGGAGAAAUUCAUUUCCGAUGAAAGUGGCUCUCAGCAGGCAGGAGAGCUGAAAGGUGAUGGAGUGGGAAGCCACACCGUCAAGCCAUCCCUCUGAAGUCGAGCUGCUUCUCUCCAACAUUAAGCCAUGGUCUCCCACAUCCAUCUGCUUCUCCUCUUCUCUUUCUCUCCUGUCUCUGUGGGCAGAGCCUGGGGGUUUUAUGGGCACAGGAAGAAGGAGCAAGGCAGACCAAGGGGGUUUUCAAAAAGGCAAAAUUCAAGCAGGAAAACAGGAAUGUAUGUUCUCUCUUUCGGCCUCAGUUCAUGGCUUGAAGGUGAGACCCUUGCU
rnacentral:lncRNA from 1 species